UACACUCGCAUCCAUCUGCAAAUGAUAAAGAUCAUCAAUCAAGAAAGCACGUGCAACAAUUUAAUUUUCAAAAUAAAUUGAACACAUGUCUUUAUUGAAAUAAAAAUUAUAGUUAUCUUGUGUCAGUUCAGAGAUAGAAAUCAAAUUUUUACUGACUACAGGUACAUAAUAAUAGUCUUUCAAAAGUAAACUAAGUCCUAAUGAUAGUCGCAGAGGAUACAUUCCGACGGCCAC
rnacentral:lncRNA from 1 species